GUGAACCUUUAUAUAUCCGCAUCCCAAAACUAACGAAACCUUUGUUACAGUUUUGGAAUUAUUUUCUAUAAAAUGGAGUGAAAUAAAUUAAAAAGUAAUAAUUAUACCUAAAAUAAAUUUACGACAAUAUGAAUUAAAAAUGUAACAUUAAAGGCAGAACGGUACGUUAACCCACAGUUAAUAAAAUAAGAUGGUUUGGCUAGCCGGCAAACUUCAAAGGGUUUUCGCAAGCGGCGGCAAAUAUGUUGAGGCACAAAGGAAAAAUAUCACGUGACGCGAUAAGGGGGGUGAUUGUCUCAAAUACACAAGGGAUUAUAUUACAGCUGGCAAUCUUUUCGUCUUUUCUCGCCAAAAUAUUGCGCUAAAGUAACUCGGUUUUCUGUGAUACUAAAGUAUAACUAAAUGAGGGUAAUGGACGACGAUUUGAGUCAAUUGUAUCGAUUCCAGAAGAAAUAUAUAAGGCAAAUAUACUUCGAGUUUGGUUGGCGAGGAGUGUGGGUUUGCUGAAGGUGAAGAUAUUUUGCUGUUUAACUUUGACAUCGCUUUGCCUGUAGUCGAAGGAAGUGAAGACCCGAUAGAAGAAGAGAUUGAUGAUGCUAUAUGCGAAAUAUCCGGCGAAAAGUCGUUCCCUUGCAAUAGCUGCGAGAAGAUUUGUAAGUCAAAGGGAGGGUUGACUAUAGACAUAUAAACGGAAAACACAAG